rnacentral:snRNA from 1 species
AGCACUGAGUAGUGGCAGUAUCAUAGCUUAUGAGGUUAAUCUGAGGCAUGAUUAUUGCUAGUUGAAAACUUUUCCCACUGACUUUAGUUUGGAUACUUUGCCACCGUGCUUUUAUUUGCAAAAUUACAGCAACUUUUAAAAAGAA